rnacentral:rRNA from 1 species
ACUGAGAACCCGAAAGGUCGAAGGGAGAAAUUCAUUCGCGUUUCGUAGCGCGGACGUCGGACGGGUUCGAGCGGCCGGAAUGGAGCGCGUUCGCGCGUUUCGCCGGCGCCGACCCGUUCGUUCGUUAAUGAGCGCGCGACGAACGCGUGCACUUUUCUCUCGGUAGGACGUCGCGAUCCGUCGGGCGUCGGUCUACGGACCGCGGAGGAGCCCGUUCGUCGUUCCUAACGGGACGUUCACGGACGGACCCGCGGAUUUCCCGGCCGACACGCUCGACGGUCGAAACGAGGUCGAAGGCCGCUCUCUCUAAGGAGCGUCCGGCUCGCGGCAAGCGCGCCGGUUGUUAGUCGGCGAUCGGACCCCGUGCCGAUUCCGACCUCCGGUGACUGUUGGCCGCGAACGUCUCGGACAGACUUUCGGACCGAUMGGCGACGCWAUAGCUUUGGGUACUUUCAGGACCCGUCUUGAAACACGGACCAAGGAGUCUAGCAUGUACGCGAGUCAUUGGGACUAAACUAAACCUAAAGGCGUAAUGAAAGUGAAGAUCCUCGUUCCCUCCGUCUCUUUUUCGAAAGGGACGAGCGGCGCGGGGAUCGAGGGAAGACGGGCGGUAUACGCCGUUAAAAGUGGGUGCCGCUCCGCAUUCCCGGGGCGUCUCGUUCUCAUCGCGAGAAGAGGCGCACCAAGAGCGUACACGCUGGGACCCGAAAGAUGGUGAACUAUGCCUGGUCAGGACGAAGUCAGGGGAAACCCUGAUGGAGGUCCGUAGCGAUUCUGACGUGCAAAUCGAUCGUCGGAACUGGGUAUAGGGGCGAAAGACUAAUCGAACCAUC